AAAAAAACAAACAAACAAGAAAAAGGAUUUAGUUAGUGCAAACACAAGUCUAAGCAUCUUAUGUACAUCCUCUCUACUUCCCCACAACUCUGCAAAUUACAUUUACUGCUGAACCUUAUUUUGACUGAAGAAAACAAGGCUCAGUGCAGUUGAUUAUGGGAUUAAGUGAAAGGGCCACUAAGCAUAGAAGUUAUAAGUAGCAUUUGAUAUAUUACAUUCCAAUUAUUUAUUUAUUUGUGAUAGACUUCAGGGAGUUGUAAAGAUAGAGGAACAUUUAUGUAUUAGAAGUACAUUGUUUUUGAAACCUAGCUUUGCUCUAUACAAUGAUAUGUGUUUUAAAUAUCUGCCUAAUUUUUCCCUAUACAGUAAUAUCAUGUUUUUAAAAAUAUCCUUAAAUUCAGCAAAUAAUUAAAAGUUACAUCAGUUUAGCUUGCAUUCACCUGGAAGAGGGAGCAACCCCAACAGAUAAGUUUAAUGUACAAAUGUAUAAGUAUUUAUUCAAGUAUGAGAAUUCUGGGAACAAGCAGAUGAGAGCAAGCAUAGUUCAAGGAUGCCAUCAACAACCUGGCCACCUUCCUUCCCUGCUGUCCUUAACAUAUAAGGUAUUGUCUUGCUUGUCACCUUACAGUCAUAAGAUGUUCAUUGCAUCUGUAGAUAUUAUUUUUUAAAGAGGAGAAAAAGAAAGAGAUGAGGACCAUACCCAUGAGCUCUAUGCCUUGAAAACUCCUGUCAUUAUUGUGCAGAUGUGGUUUCCAUGGCACUUCUGUUACCUAGUACUACAUAACAAACUACCCCAAUAAUGGCUUAAGACAACAAAAUGGUGGACAAUUGUACUGUCACCAUAAAAGACCAGUGUCUACCUUGGGAUGUCAGCUGGAGCAGUUUGCCUGGGGCUAAAGCGUCUGAGAUGGCCUCACCCACACAUCUGGCACUCAGCUGCUUCAUUUAAUCUCAGCUAAUGUGAACAGAAGGAAAUAGUUCUAGAAGAUGGCAAAGUUCACCCAACCAAUGAAAUUUUGAAGCAUCUCUCAGAGAACAAGGCCAGAGUCCAUGAUCUCAUGUUGCCUCCCAAGUUUAUCUACUACUGAUUCUAAUGGCUUUGGAGCAGACCUCACAGAGCACUGGGAAGAAACGUAAACAACACUGUGCUUUCUAAGGAUUGUUUCAAUAACCACUCAUGAUAGUAGGUAACAAAUCCUUAUGCAAUACUCUCCUGUAUUAUGGUAAAAUUCCUACACGGAGAAGACAUGUCUGCUUCAUUCACCAGAGAAUGAAAACCUAGUGCCUGAUGUAAAAAUGUUUAAUAAAUAUUCAAGUGCAAGAUGAA